GACCAGACUCCUACGGGAGGCAGCAGUGGGGAAUAUUGCACAAUGGGGGAAACCCUGAUGCAGCGACGCCGCGUGAGCGAUGAAGUAUUUCGGUAUGUAAAGCUCUAUCAGCAGGGAAGAAGAUGACGGUACCUGACUAAGAAGCCCCGGCUAACUACGUGCCAGCAGCCGCGGUAAUACGUAGGGGGCAAGCGUUAUCCGGAUUUACUGGGUGUAAAGGGAGCGUAGACGGCGAUGCAAGCCAGAUGUGAAAGCCCGGGGCUCAACCCCGGGACUGCAUUUGGAACUGUGUGGCUGGAGUGUCGGAGAGGCAGGCGGAAUUCCUAGUGUAGCGGUGAAAUGCGUAGAUAUUAGGAGGAACACCGGCGGCGAAGGCGGCCUGCUGGACCGUGACUGACGUUGAGGCUCGAGAGCGUGGGGAGCAAACAGGAUUAGAUACCCCUGUAG
rnacentral:rRNA from 1 species